CUUUCCUACGGGGGGCAGCAGUGAGGAAUAUUGGUCAAUGGGCGGGAGCCUGAACCAGCCAUGCCGCGUGAAGGCGGGUGCCCUACGGGCGUUAAACUUCUUUUGUGCGGGAGCAAUAAGGGCCACGUGUGGCCCGAUGAGCGUACCGCACGCAUAAGCAUCGGCUAACUCCGUGCCAGCAGCCGCGGUACUACGGGGGAUGCGAGCGUUAUCCGGAUUUAUUGGGUUUAACGGGUGAGUCGGGGGCGCUUCAGGUCCGC
rnacentral:rRNA from 1 species